UAUGUUGCAUAGGCUGAUCUCUUGAACUCCUCUGCCUCUCAAAGUGCUGAGAUUACAGAUGCUGUUGCUAAACAACACUUCCAUCAGAGGGCAAGCAGAGAGAGAUACACCAUUCCUUUUAAAGGUUCCAGGCACAGAGAUCCUAAAACCCUGGAAAUUUCCUGAUAGGUGAGUCUUUUGUUAUUCACUAUUGCCCCCAUCCACCAACCUGAGUUUAUGCUAACAAAGUGAUUUAGGAUAGGGCCCUAAAUAGUUUCAGGAUAAAGCUGGUUACUAGAAAGACCAAGUAAUUAGAGGGUUGUAACUUUAAGUCCCACCCACUGACCUCCAGGAAAACUGAGCUCUACAAAAACUCUGUUACAAGGUUCAAGAUUCAAAGAGCUUCCAGGCUGGUGGGCAUAUCAAGGUGCUGGGAGGGUGGAAUGAAGAAGACAUGGAAGCUCUGAGCACACCGCCCCCAUACCUUGCCCUAUGCAUUUCUUCUAUUUGGAUGUUCCUGAGUUGUAUACUUUAAAAUAAACCAGUAAAGUGUUU
rnacentral:lncRNA from 10 species